UACGGAGGGUGCAAGCGUUAUCCGGAAUCACUGGGUUUAAAGGGUGCGUAGGCGGUGGCGUAAGUCAGUUGUGAAAUUCCCCGGCUUAAACCGGCGGGAGCUGCGAUUGAUACUGCGUUACUUGAAUCAGGUUGAGGUAGGCGGAAUGUGACAUGUAGCGGUGAAAUGCUUGGAUAUGUCAUAGAACACCGAUUGCGAAGGCAGCUGCUGACCUGU
rnacentral:rRNA from 1 species